AUGGUGAGUGAGACAUCCGCAACAUCAGCGCUGGAUGGAGAUGGGAGGGUGGAUCGAAGGAAGGGAAGUGCGGGAGGGAAGAAGGGGCUAGCGGCCGAGCUUAGGGAGGGAGAUAGUGGGGGAACGAACGGUGGUGGAGGGAGCGAGCCCAAGGAGAUCGAUCUGGAUGACAAGUUUCAGCAUCUGAAUCUGAGAGCUGAGGAAGAGGAGGAUGUGGUUCUGGAGGAGGAUCUGGAAGAGUUGGAAAAGGACGCUGAAUUCAUGGCCCUUGCUAGGGUUCAUACUACGCGCAAGUUCAGCCAUGGCGUGUUCUAUGGGACUAUGCGAUCUGCAUGGAACCUAGCACAAGAAGUUGAGUUUAGGGCAAUUGAGGACAACCUGUCUUCAGUGCAGAUGUCAUGCCUUGCAGAUUGGGAACGAGUAAUGAAGGAUGGACCAUGGAUCUUUAGAAACUGUCCGGUUCUGAUGGCGAGCUAUGAUGGAUGGUCUGAACCCAAGGAUACUGAAUUAUAUACUUAUCAAGCGUGGGUUCGUGUCAUGGGACUGAAAGAGAAAAUGCGUUCAACAAGUAUUGCCUCACAAUUGGCAAGGAAAGCAGGUGUUGUUGAACGGGUGGAUGAGUGA
rnacentral:rRNA from 1 species